rnacentral:tRNA from 2 species
UCUAAAAUGGCAGAUAAGUGCAAUGGAUUUAAGCUCCAUAUAUGAGAAUGAAAAUUUCUCUUUUAGAA